rnacentral:misc_RNA from 1 species
AAUCAGCACGAGGGCGGUAUAUCAUGAGCAACCACAAACCAGCACAUCUACCGCCAAAUAAAGUGAAUGAGCAACCGGUGCGUAUACCAAGGGGCGGUCACUGAUAUGGAGGCGAAAC